CCUACGGGUGGCAGCAGUUAGGAAUCUUGCGCAAUGGGCGAAAGCCUGACGCAGCAACGCCGCGUGGGGGACGAAGGCUCUCGGGUUGUAAACCCCUUUCAGUAGGGACGAAUCAAGACGGUACCUACAGAAGAAGCCCCGGCCAACUACGUGCCAGCAGCCGCGGUAACACGUAGGGGGCAAGCGUUGUCCGGAUUUAUUGGGCGUAAAGAGCUCGUAGGCGGUUCGGUAAGUCGGGUGUGAAACCUCCAGGCUCAACCUGGAGACGCCACCUGAUACUGCUGUGACUCGAGUCCGGUAGGGGAGCGUGGAAUUCCUGGUGUAGCGGUGAAAUGCGCAGAUAUCAGGAGGAACACCAGCGGCGAAGGCGGCGCUCUGGGCCGGAACUGACGCUGAGGAGCGAAAGCGUGGGUAGCAAACAGGAUUAGAUACCCCUGUAG
rnacentral:rRNA from 1 species